CCAAAUAUAAUGGUGGGUCGAUCACUGACUAGAGGAAUCCGCCUAGAUAGAGCAUCAACAAGCACUGUGUUUCUUCCUCCAACCUUCACAUUAAUCUUCAGCGCAACAUUAGCCAUGUAUUGUUUGCUCAUCUUAAAGACAUGCUUUGUCAGGCAACAUUGAGAGACUAUGCCGAGUUCAGUCUCACAUAUGCGUUUCAAAUCACCUGCAAUGGAUAUUAUUAAGGAAAAUAAGUUGAGAGUGUGUUCCUAAGCAGAAGUAGACAAUGAAACAUCCGAGACCAUGGCUCAUACC
rnacentral:sRNA from 1 species